rnacentral:lncRNA from 1 species
CAAUUGGAGUGAGGUCACGGCCAGAGGUUGAUUUUUUGGGCCAUUUGCAAUUUCAAUUUAUUUGGUAGAGGUAAAUGAGGUCACGUGAGUUGGUAAAAAAAAAAUAUGUUGUUUAUUUUCUUUAGCUUUAAAUUAGUUUGAGUUGUAGUUAGUUGUUUUUCCUUUCUUUAAAUUAGUUUUGCAUUUGAUAAUUUUAACUGUGCUAGAUAAUUGUUGUUGAAGUGUUGGGUUUAAUAUUUUCUUUUAUUUUAAUGUUGUCUAGUAUUUUUGGUGAUGAUAAUUUUAGCUUUAGUAUCCAACCGUUACAAUCCUGUUAGUUAGAUUUAAUUUGCAUGUCUUAAUUCAGUCUAAUUGCAUUUACAAAACACUUUUCAAACCCCCCCAUUCGUGUUAGACUCGAUUCUCGAACAGCAGUUUGGUCCUUG